UCUUGCGCAGGUCUUGGAAGCCAUCUUCAUGUUGGAGCUUUUUCUUAUGUGACAACAGCAUGCUAAAGUGAGUUCAGAAAACUGUGGAGCAGAAGAGCAAAAACUUGUUUGAUCUUGAUUUUCCAUGCAAAUACACAAUGAAAAGUGAGGUCUCACGAUCAUUCUGACUUUUCAGGUUUUAAGCAGAAGUCUCAAAAUAGUUACCACAGGGAUAACUGAUGUGAGGUGGUUACGUGUUUUAGGCACGAUGGGUUUUUUUAUUCAGAGAUUUUGGCUCUUCCUUUAAUAUGGAAGGAGACUUUACCAAGUGCUGGGUAAUUCAUCCGCUAUCAGGGAAUGUGAACUGCAUUUAGACUAUGGUUAGGUAAGUUACUUCUACCCUUCCAGUGAAUGGUUCCAGUUGCAAUGGUGAUUGUGCUCAGCAAAAGAGUAAUCAUGGGUUCAGAACCUUGGUGUAUGUGCUUGAUCAAGGAACCUUGAUUUAUCAUAGCUUAUAAUUGGAAUAAUUGGCUUAGCUGUGAAUUUCCAGAAAGAGCCUUUGAUUCUUGU
rnacentral:ncRNA from 1 species